AGUAACUACUGGAAACGGUAGCUAAUACCGCAUAACGUCGCAAGACCAAAGAGGGGGACCUUCGGGCCUCUUGCCAUCAGAUGUGCCCAGAUGGGAUUAGCUAGUAGGUGGGGUAACGGCUCACCUAGGUGACGAUCCCUAGCUGGUCUGAGAGGAUGACCAGCCACACUGGAACUGAGACACGGUCCAGACUCCUACGGGAGGCAGCAUG
rnacentral:rRNA from 1 species